rnacentral:rRNA from 1 species
GAUGAACGCUGGCGGCGUGCUUAACACAUGCAAGUCGAACGGAACUGUUUGGAUGAAGUUUUCGGAUGGAUUUUAAACAGUUUAGUGGCGGACGGGUGAGUAACGCGUGGGUAACCUGCCUCACACUGGGGGAUAACAGUUAGAAAUAGCUGCUAAUACCGCAUAAGCGCACGGCUCCGCAUGGAGCAGUGUGAAAAACUCCGGUGGUAUGAGAUGGACCCGCGUCUGAUUAGGUAGUUGGUGGGGUAACGGCCUACCAAGCCGACGAUCAGUAGCCGACCUGAGAGGGUGACCGGCCACAUUGGGACUGAGACACGGCCCAA